rnacentral:lncRNA from 1 species
UUUGAAUUUAUUCAGGCAAACAUGUACAUCUACAACUAUAUGAACAAAAACGUUAAAGAAAUCAACACCAGCUGCAUUUAUUUUGUCGGCUUAAAAAGGUUAUGAAAAUUGCCCGUCGGUGCAGAGGUAUUGCAACCUGUGAAUGGAAAAGAUGACGUUGUGUACUCGAUUUAUUUUGUUCUUUUUGCUUCUUCAUAUUGCAGACAGUCUAUCGGAACAACAAAAUGUUUGCGAGUUUCAGAAAGAGACAGGGCCUUGUCUAGCAUCUGAGCAAAGAUACUAUUUCGACAAGGAUUCGGGACUGUGUAGACGCUUUACGUAUAGUGGGUGUGAAGGCAAUGGGAAUAAUUUCGAAACCUAUGAAGAG